UGAAGGUGAUAUGGACAGUCUUUGUAUUCC
rnacentral:piRNA from 1 species